ACAACCCUUCCCCUCUUCACCCGGAACACCCACGCCUACCUCUGCGGCCAUGCGCACUUCCCACGGAACACUCGAAGCUUGGUCUCAUCACCCACCGCAACUCUUCUAGGACUCCAGCACCAGACUGGGCCUGCUGAGACAUCAUCCAGCCUCAUGGACUGAACGGCUUCUGGAUCCUUGGCGUUUCUGUUGGACGACAGCCAUUGUUGAACUAUCUGGACUACAGCCUGUAUAUGCCUAAGAGUGAAACUGCUGGAUCUUGUGGUAGACUG